UUCUCAACAUACGUCAAGAUGAACCUCCUAUCUAUAUCGCGUUGCUUUAAUAUGACGUCAUAUCGAAAGAAAUGAAGAAUAUAAUGUGCAGAUAUUUAGUCUCACAUUAGUCUUCGCAUCGAGAGUAGCACAGGCACACGACUAUUUACUUAUUCGACUAGAAAAUAUUUGGAAACAUCUACGAAAGAAGUUGCAGAAUUAACGCAAACAUUUAUUAAGAAAAAAUACUUUGUACCAAAGACGUUGGCUAUUUGCAAAACCUACAAAUGAACACGUUCUGGAAAGUCGUCCAAACAACAGUCACGUUUGGAGUGGUUGGUUACGCCGCCUACCUUUGGUAUGACAACUGGCGGGAAGAGCAACGAGAGGCUCAACUUCAAGAGGAAGAAGAGGCCGAAGCAGCAGCAGCACAGGCCGCUGAGAAGGAGAAAGCACAGGCUUCUUCUAGCCAAAUUACAGAUGGCAAUCAAAGCAAGAAGAGCAGCGAAAACACAACCAAAGGUUCAACAAAGAAUACAGGGAAGCAAAACUCGCGGGGCUUUUGUGGGUUUAAAAAAGGCUUUCUUCUUAAAUGAAAGAUUUCAAGAAAAAGAGAAUGCUAUAGCGGUAAAAGAUUGGAGAGCUGUGGCAUUUCGUACACUUUCUGGAUGGGCAAAGCAAGUACCGAAGUUUAAAGAUGAAGAAAAAACAUUAAAAAAUAAAAAAUGGCAGCAGAUGAGAUUCCAUAUUUUUUACCCUAGCAAAAAUCUACCCUUGUUGUGUAUUUUCAUGAAGCAGAUAGGGCCUCUUAAGGGCACACUGAUACUCAAUUUCUGGGGCACACUUUUCUAAAAACAUGGAGAGGGGGCACAAUCCAAUCACUUUUACAAAGUAUAAUCCAUGAUGUCAUGCCCCUAGUUAAAUCGUUUGUUCUGAUCCACGAAGAAGUACAACCCGUGUAUUUGCUGGGCAGAAGAACGUCAACUAGUUUUGUAAUGACCGAGGCAUGCAUGGCUCAGUCAUUUCAAGACUUCCUGUCGUUCGUCUACCCAGCAAAUAUGCCGAGAGGAACAAAAUAUGCACCUUCAACGCACCUUGUCAGCAUUCGGUGUCUAAUAGUGGCACAGAGUGCUGCU